ensembl:miRNA
GGUACCUACCCCCACUGGGUUUUCUACAUUAAAAAGUAUAAAUUAAAUAAACUUUUUAAUGUAGAAAACCCAAUGGGGGUAGGUAC